rnacentral:misc_RNA from 1 species
GUAGGUGAACCUGCGGAAGGAUCAUUAAUGAACCUUUGAGGGUUGAGCUGGCGAUUAACUUCGCAUGUGCUUACCCUCUCAAUCUUUUAUACACCUGUGCAUCUCUGAGGGGACAGUAGGCAUUACCUUUUGGGUAAGGUCGAGAUCCCCUUCUCAACAUACACUUUAUUUUAUUUAUGAAUGUUCAAACGCUUAACAGCAUUUAAAUACAACUUUUAACAACGGAUCUCUUGGCUCUCGCAUCGAUGAA